AGCUCGCGUCUGAUUAGCUAGUUGGUGAGGUAAUGGCUCACCAAGGCUUCGAUCAGUAGCUGGUCUGAGAGGAUGAUCAGCCUCACUGGGACUGAGACACGGCCCAGACUCCUACGGGAGGCAGCAGUGGGGAAUUUUCCGCAAUGGGCGAAAGCCUGACGGAGCAACGCCGUGUGAGGGACGAAGGCCUCUGGGCUGUAAACCUCUUUUCUCAAGGAAGAAGAUAUGACGGUACUUGA
rnacentral:rRNA from 1 species